rnacentral:rRNA from 1 species
ACUCCGUACGGGAGGCAGCAGGUGGGGAAUAUUGCACAAGUGGGCGCAAGCCUGAUGCAGCAACGCCGUGUGAGUGAAGAAGGUUUUCGGAUCGUAAACUCUGUCCUAAGGGAAGAAAAAAUGACGGUACCUUAGGAGGAAGCCCGGCUAACUACGUGCCAGCAGCCGCGGUAAUACGUAGGGGGCAAGCGUUAUCCGGAAUCACUGGGCGUAAAGGGUGCGUAGGCGGCUUAGCAAGCCAGGGUGAAAGGCAUUGGCUCAACCAAUGUAAGCCUUUGGAACUGUUAAGCUUGAGUGCAGGAGAGGUAAGUGGAAUUCCUAGUGUAGAGGUGAAAUUCGUAGAUAUUAGGAGGAACACCAGUGGCGAAGGCGACUUACUGGACUGUAACUGACGCUGAUGCACGAAAGCGUGGGUAGCGAACAGGAUUAGAUACCCUGGUAGGUCAGUC